UACAGAGGUCCCAAGCGUUGUUCGGAUUCACUGGGCGUAAAGGGUGCGCAGGUGGGUUUGCAAGUUCGAUGUGAAAGCCCCGGGCUUAACCCGGGAAUGGCAUUGGAUACUGCAGAUCUGGAGGAUCGGAGGGGGGACUGGAAUUCUUGGUGUAGCAGUGAAAUGCGUAGGUAUCAAGAGGAACACCAGUGGCGAAGGCGAGUCCCUGGACGAUACCUGACACUGAGGCACGAAAGCUAGGGGAGCAAACAGG
rnacentral:rRNA from 1 species